GUGAGCGGUAGUUCAGUUGGUUGUGAAUACCUGCCUGUCGCAGGGGUCGCGGGUUCGGAGUCCCGUCCGCUCCU
rnacentral:tRNA from 1 species